rnacentral:rRNA from 1 species
UACGUAGGGUGCAAGCGUUAAUCGGAAUUACUGGGCGUAAAGCGUGCGCAGGCGGUUUUGUAAGUCUGUCGUGAAAUCCCCGGGCUCAACCUGGGAAUUGCGAUGGAGACUGCAAGGCUAGAAUCUGGCAGAGGGGGGUAGAAUUCCACGUGUAGCAGUGAAAUGCGUAGAUAUGUGGAGGAACACCGAUGGCGAAGGCAGCCCCCUGGGUCAAGACUGACGCUCAUGCACGAAAGGCG